rnacentral:rRNA from 1 species
UAGUGGCGAACGGGUGAGUAACACGUGGGCAAUCUGCCCUUCACUCUGGGACAAGCCCUGGAAACGGGGUCUAAUACCGGAUAACACCGGCUUCCGCAUGGAGGCUGGUUGAAAGCUCCGGCGGUGAAGGAUGAGCCCGCGGCCUAUCAGCUUGUUGGUGGGGUAAUGGCCUACCAAGGCGACGACGGGUAGCCGGCCUGAGAGGGCGACCGGCCACACUGGGACUGAGACACGGCCCAGACUCCUACGGGAGGCAGCAGUGGGGAAUAUUGCACAAUGGGCGAAAGCCUGAUGCAGCGACGCCGCGUGAGGGAUGACGGCCUUCGGGUUGUAAACCUCUUUCAGCAGGGAAGAAGCGAGAGUGACGGUACCUGCAGAAGAAGCGCCGGCUAACUACGUGCCAGCAGCCGCGGUAAUACGUAGGGCGCAAGCGUUGUCCGGAAUUAUUGGGCGUAAAGAGCUCGUAGGCGGCUUGUCACGUCGGGUGUGAAAGCCCGGGGCUUAACCCCGGGUCUGCAUCCGAUACGGGCAGGCUAGAGUGUGGUAGGGGAGAUCGGAAUUCCUGGUGUAGCGGUGAAAUGCGCAGAUAUCAGGAGGAACACCGGUGGCGAAGGCGGAUCUCUGGGCCAUUACUGACGCUGAGGAGCGAAAGCGUGGGGAGCGAACAGGAUUAGAUACCCUGGUAGUCCACGCCGUAAACGUUGGGAACUAGGUGUUGGCGACAUUCCACGUCGUCGGUGCCGCAGCUAACGCAUUAAGUUCCCCGCCUGGGGAGUACGGCCGCAGCUAAAACUCAAAGGAAUUGACGGGGCC